GUAUACGGCCAUACCACCCUGAACGUGCCCGAUCUGGUCAGAUCUCGGAAGCAAAGCAGGGUCGAGCCUGGUUAGUACUUGGAUGGGAGAAAUUAAAUGACUCAAGUAAGUCAGUCUCCC
rnacentral:rRNA from 1 species